ACUCUCUGCUGUACGUGCCAGCUGUGGGUGCGUGGGGAGGUGGACAACAGAUGUGAAAAGGGUCUAUGUGUAUCCAUGAGUCCCUGCAGUGCCACUUAGAAGUCACACCAGUGUCCCUGGCGAGCACGUAGCAGGGAGGAAAGGCAAGAGCUCCAGAGUCUGGGUUGCCACAGUAACCCUUAUUCUACUGCCUUUGGCUUCUACACGGGGGAAAACCUUUCAGUCUGUAAACACCCAGCUCCAUGGACGUGCCUGACACUGGUAAUAUUUGUGGUGGGGCUAUUUAUUGCCAAGAAUCAAUGAAGAGCCCUGCAGGACCAUCUUCUUGCUUCUGAAUCUUCCCACAACUUCCAGACUCCCCUCCAUGCAGCCAAAAAACCCCAAUAAAGAAUCAGUUACCUGCACACCCCAGAUCACAGAGGAGACCACUGCUAACUGCUGAUCGGCUUGUCUUGAACCAGACCCUUCAGAAGGAAAAACCAGAGUCAUCCAUGGCCAUGGGGAUUGUGGACAUACCAGGUGGGCAACAGGAAAAGUAUGUGAGCCCAGCUUUUGCAAUCUGACAGAGGCGGGCGAAAGCAAGUUCAGAGAAAAGACAUUCCCCUGAAGAAGAGCAGGAGAACAGUCCUCGAGCCCUGCCUGUGCUAGGUGAAGGACAGCCAGCCACACCACUUGCUCAAUCCUAAAACCAUCUCCCCCAAGCCCUGGAGACACACUGGCAGUUGAACUGAUUUUCCAGGUAAGCCUCUUUUUUUUUUUUAAACCCUGAAUCUUGAUAGCUGAGCG
rnacentral:lncRNA from 1 species